GUGAGUGAUGAAAGCUUAGACUAGAGUCUCUGAUACACAGUGAUGGCUAAGUAAACGCUCUGACGC